ACAGACAAAGAUGAAACAGGCAGGUGCAAGAGUGUAAGUAAACACAUGGGGGAAACAGAGACAAAGAAGAGACAGACAGGUGCAAGAGUGUAAAUCAACAUAUGAGG